ensembl:snoRNA SNORA74 Small nucleolar RNA SNORA74
UCCAGCUCUCAGUCAGCUGACCAGGCUCAGCGUGCUUGGCCCAGUGUUACAGUGCUGGUAGACAAAGUCUCUGCUCUUGGUGUCAGUUCAGUAGGUUCUGUUUUAGAGUCUGCUGCUGCUGUGCCGUUGCAGAGCGUGGCUUAACGAGAGUGGCCUGUCCCGUUCUGCUGUCGGGAUGAGCCUAGUACAGGGCCACACAUU